CGACCGCUGGCGGCGUGCUUACCACAUGCACGUCGACCGGCAAAGCCCUGCUUUUGUGGGGUGCUCGAGUGGCGAACGGGUGAGUAACACGUGAGUAACCUGCCCUUGACUUUGGGAUAACUUCAGGAAACUGGGGCUAAUACCGGAUAGGAGCUCCUGCUGCAUGGUGGGGGUUGGAAAGUUUCGGCGGUUGGGGAUGGACUCGCGGCUUAUCAGCUUGUUGGUGGGGUAGUGGCUUACCAAGGCUUUGACGGGUAGCCGGCCUGGGAGGGUGACCGGCCACAUUGGGACUGAGAUACGGCCCAGACUCCUACGGGAGGCAGCAGUGGGGAAUAUUGCACAAUGGGCGGAAGCCUGAUGCAGCAACGCCGCGUGCGGGAUGACGGCCUUCGGGUUGUAAACCGCUUUCGCCUGUGACGAAGCGUGAGUGACGGUAAUGGGUAAAGAAGCACCGGCUAACUACGUG
rnacentral:rRNA from 1 species